CUGGUAGCGUCAGCCUCCUGGCUUUUCCUUUUCCUGGACGCUUCAGGGCUCCGCGGCCUGCGCUAGACUGGAGGGUCCGCGUCACUCUCGCCCUCCUGCUUUCCGCGCUCUCACCCGCUCCCGCCUCCUGAGGGCACGACUUGUGGAGGAGCGCGGGCGGCGGGGCGUGAGCGAGCUGCCUCUGCCGCCAUCUUAGAGAAGGCGAGCGUGGGGUGUGCGUGGGCGCGAGUCGGCCUCCCGCGGUGCCGCCGCAGCGUGGCGCGGAGAGGCAGGGGCAUCCAGUGGUUCAAGGUUACAAUAAGCUGUGAUCGUGCCACUGCAUUCUACCUGGGAUGACAGAGUGGGACCCUGUGCCACAGAGUGAGACCCUGUCUCAAAAAAAAAAAAACUAUGUAAAUCCAAGAAAAAAAGAAAACAGCUCCUGUUGCCUUUUGCCUCUCAUCCAGAAAGGUAUCCAUUUGCCUUUCUAAUAUCUCUUCAUCCUGUCAGGCCACAAAUGGAGACGACUCACCUGUAUUGUACCUCUCCAAGUUCUGGAAAGUCGAUGGAGGGUUUACUCAGAACUUCAAUCUAUCCAGAACUGAGUUUUGUUUAUGGUGUGUGCCAGGCAGUGGAUUAAACAGUAGUGCAUAUCACUUGGCUGAAGUGACAGGAAUAAAGAACAGAAUGCAUCCACUCCUCCAGUCUCAUUAAGCUGCCUCUUUCUCCUGAAAUUGGAUUGGGAUUCCAGGACACCUCUCAACCUACAGGAAACACUGGAUCUAA
rnacentral:lncRNA from 1 species